AUGAAGGGAUCUCCUGCUGUUCCCUGUGUCUCCCUUUGCUUCACAGUCAGAUCUGACUCUUCAGAGUCGCUGAGUCCGGAUAGAGGCAUAUUCUGUGUGAGCCGGAGCCUUGAAAGUGAUCUCGGCAUAGUGCAGAUCCUUGCUCGCGUUACCACCAGCUCUGCUGCGCCCCUGUUGAAGACACAAAUCAAGUCACCCAGGCUCCAUCUCCUGCUGGCGUCUUUCCAGCCCCUCACAUGGACCACGCGUCAACGCUGUCUUGAAACGGACAAUGCCACCCAGUUAAACUCAGGCUCCAAUUUUAAUGGUCUCACCUUUGCCGGCUGCUGCUGUUGGGUGUCUGGGGAGGCUGCUGGGGAGGAGAGAAGGAGGCCUGGGUUAUUGUUGGAAGAGAUGAAUGGAGGUGUAGGAACUGAACACAGGACUGGAGAAGGUAGAUUGGAGGCUCCCAUUCCCCCUUGCACCAGGAGGACGGAAGAGAAGUACAUUUUGAACAGCGGAAGAACGGGCAGGUGGAGUGAGCGUGGAAGGAGGAGUAAAUACCUGUGCGUCUGCGCAGCAGGAGGGCGGUAACUAAGAUGAUGAUGCUGACACCUGCCAGAGCAGUCGUGGCUCUGUAGAUGAUCAACACUGAUUUAGCUGUCUCCAGGGAAGAUCUGCAAUCCUAGAUGCUGGAUAAAUCCAGUGAUGUGUUCACCUUAUCAAGAACGAUAUCCCAGAAUUGCGCAGGAAACUCACCCUGUUUCUGGCCGAAUGCUCCCACAUUUGGGUUCGGCGCCCUCUUGCAACCAGCUGGAAUUUCUGCAACAGCUUAAUUUGAAUGAAAAAACAGGAGUCAGUGGGUGAGGUUCUGUAGCUAUGUGCAGGAGGUCAGAGUAGGGAAUUGUGAAGGUACCUUUUGGCUUUAAAGUCCAGGAGAACAGUUUUGUGCAUUUCUGAUGUCCGCCACCUUGGCUAACGUGCUGCGGAUUGAACUGGGGACCUCAACAUCUAAAAGCACAAGUUGCUACAGCUUGAGCUAGAAGAGCUGGGGGCUGUAACAAGUUGUAUUCUGGGUAGAUCAGCACAGAACGGGAUCUCCUAACUCACACUCUUUGGUCCUGAGACAUUCAGUAAGGAAAUGAACGAUCCAGUCUGCACAGAAGCCCUGGGCUGGCUAAUCCGAUAUUAAAUCCAGUCUAGUUUACCCUGCUCCACAUUUUCUG
rnacentral:lncRNA from 1 species